rnacentral:rRNA from 1 species
GACGAACGCUGGCGGCGUGCUUAACACAUGCAAGUCGAACGGAAAGGCCCUGCUUUUGUGGGGUGCUCGAGUGGCGAACGGGUGAGUAACACGUGAGUAACCUGCCCUUGACUUUGGGAUAACUUCAGGAAACUGGGGCUAAUACCGGAUAGGAGCUCCUGCUGCAUGGUGGGGGUUGGAAAGUUUCGGCGGUUGGGGAUGGACUCGCGGCUUAUCAGCUUGUUGGUGGGGUAGUGGCUUACCAAGGCUUUGACGGGUAGCCGGCCUGAGAGGGUGACCGGCCACAUUGGGACUGAGAUACGGCCCAGACUCCUACGGGAGGCAGCAGUGGGGAAUAUUGCACAAUGGGCGGAAGCCUGAUGCAGCAACGCCGCGUGCGGGAUGACGGCCUUCGGGGUGGAAACCGCUUUCGCCUGUGACGAAGCGUGAGUGACGGUAAUGGGUAAAGAAGCACCGGCUAACUACGU